rnacentral:rRNA from 1 species
GCAAGUCGAGCGAGAAAGGUCUUCGGACUGAGUACAGCGGCGGACGGGUGAGUAACGCGUAGGAAUCUACCCAGUAGUGGGGGACAACAUGGUGAAAACCAUGCUAAUACCGCAUACGCCCUAAGGGGGAAAGCGGGGGACCUUCGGGCCUCGUGCUAUUGGAUGAGCCUGCGUAGGAUUAGCUUGUUGGUGAGGUAAAGGCUCACCAAGGCGACGAUCCUUAGCUGGUCUGAGAGGAUGAUC